rnacentral:rRNA from 1 species
CGAACCUGCCUCAUACAGGGGGAUAACAGUUAGAGAUGACUGCUAAUACCGCAUAAGCGCACAGCAUCGCAUGAUGCCGUGUGAAAAACUCCGGUGGUAUGAGAUGGACCCGCGUCUGAUUAGCUAGUUGGUGAGGUAACGGCCCACCAAGGCGACGAUCAGUAGCCGACCUGAGAGGGUGACCGGCCACAUUGGGACUGAGACACGGCCCAA